GAAGGUCUGCGUAAAUGGCUCCGAGCAGGGACUUUAUCUCUUUAUUGGUCAUAUACUGAUUUGCUGAGUAGAGUCGAAUGACAAAAUUCACGGAAAUGAGUAGUGUUAUGCUACUGUUAACAACUACAGCAGAACAUAAAAUAUUUGACCCGACGUCAGCUUAAAGAUUCUCUGAUAAGUGCUGUUCAUUUCCAGGGAACUCCAGCUUAAAAUGCAUGGCAUGAUCAUGAAGAUUUUUGGCUGUGAAAACAGUUUAUAUCAUAGCUUUACAACACAACAUUUUGAUACCUUUUCUGGAUGCAUAAAUAAACAUGGUCGGAACUAAUAGCAGUUUGCUCGCGUCUGGUCGGUCUGUCGUCGUCCAAAGUACCAGAACGUAGCGGAAGAACCACGUCGUUCACUGAGGGAACCAGCAUGAGAAGAACUAGAACCACGAGAAUACGGGAGAGAAGAGGCAGACGCUCCAAUGAGGAUAGCGGUGGAUCCAAUAACCAAUCGCAACAGCUCGAUCCCGUUUACUUAGAAUCUCUUGCUGCACUGGAUUCGGAAACACCAACAUCAAAAGUCGUUCGGGAAACCAGAGUCUAGCCAGUGAAAAUGUGAAGAUCAGCGAAAAGCGGACUGAGGGCUUAAACUGAGUGAAACAUGGACCAACGCGGUUUAUCAUCCAAACGAUGAAAAUAAUGUGAAGGAAAAAGGAUCUUGAGGUGGGGGAGUGCAAAUUGUGAUGGUCCUCGAGAUUUAUUCGUGUGGCUCCCGAUGAAGCAAAUGCUUCAGUUUGGGAAGUGUUAUUUGUGUGCUUUCCGUGCAGCUUUCGCUGCUGUCUGUGGAGGCAUGGCUGUUGCUCGCACAAAGCUGGAUCUCGAAUUUAUCAGGAAAGCGGGCGCGUACCCUGACUGAAUCAAACAUUUGAGUCCUACAAUGGAACUAGUCAUAACUGCGUUUUCGUUUGUCGAAGAUUCGUCGCUGGUCGACUCGAAACCAGCACCUAUAUGCAGGGCAGAAUAUAUUGAAUGUUAUAUAAUUAGGCAUUCAUACUGCAAUAUAUUUUAGUCAAAUAGAUGUAGGUGAACUCUUCUACAGCGCUGUGAUUAGACCUAAAACAUGAACAACUGUGUAUGAAUGUAUUCAUGUACUCGCGUGUCAAUGUACUUAUCUCUGUGUACCUAGGCGUCAUGUCGCUUAUAAGCGCAGACUGAUUGCGCAAAUACUCAUCUGAUUACC